GACGAACGCUGGCGGCGUGCUUAACACAUGCAAGUCGAACGGUAAGGCCCUUCGGGUACGACGAGUGGCGAACGGGUGGAGUAACACGUGGUGAUCUGCCCUGCACUUCGGGAUAAGCCUGGGAAACUGGGUCUAAUACCGGAUAGGACCAUGGACUUCACGGUUUGUGGUGGAAAGCUUUUGCGGUGUGGGAUGGGCCCGCGGCCUAUCAGCUUGUUGGUGGGGUAAUGGCCUACCAAGGCGACGACGGGUAGCCGGCCUGAGAGGGUGUCCGGCCACACUGGGACUGAGAUACGGCCCAGACUCCUACGGGAGGCAGCAGUGGGGAAUAUUGCACAAUGGGCGCAAGCCUGAUGCAGCGACGCCGCGUGAGGGAUGACGGCCUUCGG
rnacentral:rRNA from 1 species